CGGGAGGCAGCAGUAGGGAAUUUUCGGCAAUGGAGGAAACUCUGACCGAGCAACGCCGCGUGAACGAUGAAGUAUUUCGGUACGUAAAGUUCUUUUAUUAGGGAAGAAUAAAUGAUGGAAAAAUCAUUCUGACGGUACCUAAUGAAUAAGCCCCGGCUAACUAUGUGCCAGCAGCCGCGGUAAUACAUAGGGGGCAAGCGUUAUCCGGAAUUAUUGGGCGUAAAGGGUGCGUAGGCGGUUAAAUAAGUUUAUGGUCUAAGUGCAAUGCUUAACAUUGUGAUGCUAUAAAAACUGUUUAGCUAGAGUAAGAUAGAGGCAAGUGGAAUUCCAUGUGUAGUGGUAAAAUGCGUAAAUAUAUGGAGGAACACCAGUAGCGAAGGCGGCUUGCUGGGUCUUUACUGACGCUGAGGCACGAAAGCGUGGGGAGCAAACAGGAUUAGAUACCCUGGUAGUCCACGCCGUAAACGAUGAGUACUAAAUGUUGGGUAAAACCAGUGUUGAAGUUAACACAUUAAGUACUCCGCCUGAGUAGUACGUACGCAAGUAUGAAACUUAAAGGAAUUGACGGGACUCCGCACAAGCGGUGGAUCAUGUUGUUUAAUUCGAAGGUACCCGAAAAACCUCACCAGGUCUUGACAUGCUUCUGCAAAGCUGUAGAAACACAGUGGAGGUUAUCAGUUGCACAGGUGGUGCAUGGUUGUCGUCAGCUCGUGUCGUGAGAUGUUGGGUUAAGUCCCGCAACGAGCGCAACCCUUAUUGUUAGUUGCCAGCACGUAAUGGUGGGGACUUUAGCAAGACUGCCAGUGAUAAAUUGGAGGAAGGUGGGGACGACGUCAAAUCAUCAUGCCCCUUAUGACCUGGGCUACAAACGUGAUNCAA
rnacentral:rRNA from 1 species